rnacentral:tRNA from 1 species
GAGGGUAUAGCUCAGUCGCAGAGUGCAUGCUUCACAUGCGUGAGGUCCUGGUUCAAUUCCCAGUACCUCCA